GAUGAACGCUGGCGGCGUGCCUAAUACAUGCAAGUCGAGCGAACGGACGAGAAGCUUGCUUCUCUGAUGUUAGCGGCGGACGGGUGAGUAACACGUGGAUAACCUACCUAUAAGACUGGGAUAACUUCGGGAAACCUGAGCUAAUACCGGAUAAUAUUUUGAACCGCAUGGUUCAUAAGUGAAAGACGGUCUUGCUGUCACUUAUAGAUGGAUCCGCGCUGCAUUAGCUAGUUGGUAAGGUAACGGCUUACCAAGGCAACGAUGCGUAGCCGACCUGAGAGGGUGAUCGGCCACACUGGAACUGAGACACGGUCCAGACUCCUACGGGAGGCAGCAGUAGGGAAUCUUCCGCAAUGGGCGAAAGCCUGACGGAGCAACGCCGCGUGAGUGAUGAAGGUCUUCGGAUCGUAAAACUCUGUUAUUAGGGAAGAACAUAUGUGUAAGUAACUGUGCACAUCUUGACGGUACCUAAUCAGAAAGCCACGGCUAACUACGUG
rnacentral:rRNA from 1 species